UGACGGUAAUUGCAGGAUCUACCUGAAUACCAGCUGCAACCAAUAAACUCUUUCGCUGGGGCUGGAAAACAUAUUUAAAGUCAUGGUUGAGACCAAGAGCAUCACUUCCAUGCUUGCUGUAGAUUUUGUUGGGACAUCUCAUCAACAAACAUGAAGCUGUUUCUCCUGAUGGUUCUUGCAACUCUGUUGACUGCAGAAUGUGUUGUUGCAGAACGACAACAAAUGAAGCUGUCCCGAACCAUGAGAGCACGGUUCACAAGAUCAAUAUCAGAAUAUCGUCUUCGGUCUGGUGCCUCAAAACGUCUGAGAAUGCGAAGUGUAUGAAGUUCUGGCACUGAAUGAUGGAGUGGAGAGGAUUCUAAUGUGCAUCAAAACAAAAUGAGCAAUAAAUCAGUUUUGUUCUGCAA